AUUAGAGUGUUUCAAGCAGACUUGUGUCUUGAAUACUUCAGCAUGGAAUAAUAAAGUAGGACUUUGGUUCUAUUUUGUUGAUUUGUGAACCUUAGUAAUGGUUAGUAGGAACGGUUGGGGGCAUUCGUAUUUAACUGUCAGAGGUGAAAUUUUUAGAUUUGUUAAAGACGAACUACUGCGAA
rnacentral:rRNA from 1 species